AUUGAACGCUGGCGGAAUGCUUUACACAUACAAGUCGAACGGUAGAGGGGGCAACCCCUCGAGAGUGGCGAACGGGUGAGUAAUAUAUCGGAACGUGCCCAGUCGUGGGGGAUAACGUAGCGAAAGUUACGCUAAUACCGCAUACGAUCUAAGGAUGAAAGCGGGGGAUCGCAAGACCUCGCGCGAUUGGAGCGGCCGAUAUCAGAUUAGGUAGUUGGGGGGGUAAAGGCUCACCAAGCCAACGAUCUGUAGCUGGUCUGAGAGGACGACCAGCCACACUGGAACUGAGGCACGGUCCAGACUCCUACGGGAGGCAGCAGUGGGGAAUUUUGGACAAUGGACGCAAGUCUGAUCCAGCCAUUCCGCGUGCAGGAUGAAGGCCCUCGGGUUGUAAACUGCUUUUGUACGGAACGAAAAGGUCUCUCUUAAUACGGGGGACUCAUGACGGUACCGUAAGAAUAAGCACCGGCUAACUACGUGCCAGCAGCCGCGGUAACAC
rnacentral:rRNA from 1 species